rnacentral:rRNA from 1 species
AUUGAACGCUGGCGGCAUGCCUUACACAUGCAAGUCGAACGGCAGCACGGGAGCAAUCCUGGUGGCGAGUGGCGAACGGGUGAGUAAUAUAUCGGAACGUGCCCAGUCGUGGGGAUAACGUAGCGAAAGCUACGCUAAUACCGCAUACGAUCUAUGGAUGAAAGCGGGGGAUCGCAAGACCUCGCGCGAUUGGGAGCGGCCGAUAUCAGUAGUUAGGUAGUUGGUGAAGGGUAAAGGCUCCAACCAACGCCGACGAUCUGUAGCUGGUCUGAGAGGAC